rnacentral:pre_miRNA from 1 species
AAAGUACUCCCUCCGUCCCAAAAUUCUUGUCUUAGAUUUGUUUAGAUACGGAUGUAUCAAGUCACAUUUUAGUAUUAGAUACAUCCGUAUCUAGACAAAUAUAAGACAAGAAAUUUGGGACAGAGGGAGUAGUUG